UGUUCUAUUCUACUGCAGCUUAGCUGGUAGUAAAACCAUGAGAUGCCGUCCUUCCCACUAUUCUCUCCUCUUUCCAAAGGCAGACGAGCCUCCACCUGUAGCCACUACCACUCCUGGCCACAGGGAAUACUGCUAGACUACUGUCAAUAUUCCCUUAAGGCCCAAUGGCUCUUAUGACAGUUUGCGGUAAAUGCUGUCUGACCUGGCAGUCACCCUUUAGGGCAGUGGGCUCUCCUCUGGCCCCGGGUAUGUCCAGAAAUGAUGUCCAAGAGUCACAUCGUAGACUCAGGUCCUCCAAGAGCCCACUUGGUGCUCUGCCCCACUGUAGCCAUUCUGGUACCUAAGGUCCAAGACAAAGUCCUCUUUACUCUUCCCUCUGCUUUUCUCAAGCAGAAGGUGUUUUGCCAAGAGACACCACAGCUGGUAGUGUGCUGAGUCUCACCUGAAGACCACAAGUCUCAGAGGCUAACUCAAAGCCCUUGAUGUAGCACCUGGGUAUCACUGCUGGUUAUCCAGGACCAAGGGCUCUUCACUAAGCGGGUAAUAAAUGCUGCCAGCACUGGGUUCUUUCCUUCAGGACAGCAGAUUCCCUUCCAGCCCAGGGUGUAUCAAGAAAUGUUGUCUGGGAGCUGAGGUCUGGAACAGCAGCCUCAUGACUCCAACCGGUGCUGUCUUGCUAUGGUGCAGCUAAUAUCCAAGAUGCAAGACAAGUUCCUCCCCACUCUUCCCUCUCCUCUCCUCAAGGGAAAAUACGGGGUAACUUUUGGAGCCAUGAACUCUGUAGCCUGGGGCUCAGAAGGGGUAAUACCAGCCCUUCCUUUGUAGUUCUUAUGGCCUAGACUGCC
rnacentral:lncRNA from 1 species